GCUUGCUUCAGCAAUACAUGUACUAAAACUGGACCAAUACAGAGAAGAUUAGCACUGCCCCUGCGCAAGGAUGACAUGCAAAUUCAUGAAACGUUCUAUAUAUUU